GAGAUUGUGAGAAUAAGGAUACUGUAAGCUAAGGUAUGUUUGCAUAAGUUAAGGAUUAAUGGUUUGCUAGAAAUAUUUAUCAUAUGUGAUUUUGUAAUGUUUUUUUUUACUCCUCUAGCGUAUAAAAUGUUUAUUCCAAUGAUUCCGUUUACAUAUUUCGUGAGCAACGUUUGCAUCUUCCACGUCAGCAAAUCCGAUCGGACAAUCAUGUCUCUCAUUGCAUUUAAUCUUCAGCAAUGCUACAUACUCAUUUAUAUUCUGCUUUUGUAUUACAAUAUCACAUCGCAUUCCGCAACAUCUGUGCCCAGUUAAAGCAAGGUUAACAGACCUUAUCAAAAAUUACUACUCGGAAAUGCCACUUGCUCUACAAAAAACGGAUAAACAUCCGCAUUACUUGAGCUCAAAUUACAGGCACAUGCACUUUGUAAAUAUACAAAAAUAUAUACCGAUAACAUUAGUUUACGAAUCCUUUUUUAAAAGUGUAUUCAUAGCAACAAGAUUUGAACCGCACGGCCUAAUGCAAGGAUAAAUUAGCAUACAAAAACCUGUUCCCGAUGUUUAGAAGCGCAAGGGAGUAAAAAACCAGGCAGAUUUUCCGGUUUGGUACUUCUCCUCAAAAGUAUUCUUGACAGUCUUCUUUGCAGCAGAGCGUUGAGAAGGCUCGCUGAAAGUAGUAGGAGUGACAAGUCCCUUCAAAUUGUCAAGUUCGAGAGCAUAACGGGUAGGCAUCAAGUGGUUAUAGUUGAUGACCUUGAUGAAAGGCUUCACUCUAGAACGCUUGGCAAUGCGCUUAGCACCCAUAGAUUUGGUGACCUUCAAGGGGUAGCGCUCGACACCAGCGACAACGGCGUGACCAAAAGGAUGGCUUUUAGAUCCUUGGUCAACAUUUUGAAGGAUAACGACCUUCUUACCGGCAAAACGACCGCGAGUGACUAAAGCAACCUGAACGUUUCGUUAGCCAAGUUAAUCCACAAUUUAUUAAUCUAAAGGUUUAAAACCUCGCAAACAUACCUUUCCUGGCUUCAAAAUCUUCACCAUCUUGUUACUAUGGGUUUUGGUGACUUUUGAGUGUAACGGUGGCAGCGAAAUUUUUGGGUGUAUCCAUACAGCCAAAAGUGACUGCUUUUUUCGUAAACACCGAAACCUAACAGUUUUUUAUAACGUACAUCAAAAUAACUAGUUGGAUAAAAAGCUGUUUUUGUUAACUCAAUUUUUUAUUUUCAAUAGUUGAAUGUAGUAGUGACUAGCUUUUGGACACUACAGACAAUUGUGAUGUAAGAUAGAGCCUUGAUAUUGUAACUAUGAAAAUCUAAAUAGUUUAAAAGAAACGUUUAACAUUGCAGUCUCAAUCUU